CAGCACGAGCUAACCGCGGCCCAAGUCCCGAUGGAGUUACUACUCUCUUCCGCAGCACGGCUGUACUCCCGUAUGUCCCCCACUCCUUCAUAGGCGAACGAGACAACUUAGGGUCGAGAAGAAUGGUCACUCAUCUCACCUGGUAAAGAGUAAGAGGACUUUGGAGACUAUGCUUUGAUUGAAAGGCAGACAAAACAACCAAGGCAAAAUUUUCUUUUAAAGUUCCAUUAUUCUCGAAUAGAAGGUCUUUAACAUGGCAGACUGAAAUUAAUGUCAGCCGUCGCGAGGGGCCCACAGUGCGACGGUAACUCCCUCUUCGCUAGCGGCGCCCCCUUUGCCAAUCUUUCUCUGGCGCGGAAAAAAAAAACCUGCGAGAUUCCUCUCUUUUCAGUUAUUUCAGUCCCUGUGGUUUUCUUCCCACCCAUUUUGUUUUAAUCGACACACCCUCCUCCACCGCGCCCCCCUCUACCCGCUCGCCUCCUUUGUCAGCUUUUCCAGCGAGUAUAAAUACUCUUACGCCAGUGGACAACGGCAUCAGUUGCAGUGUUCUUCACGACCAAACUUCUCUCUUUCAGCAAACAACCACAACCCCCAAACUCUCCCAUGUCUCUCAAGACUCUUUUCUUCUUCGCUCUCGCCAUCGUCGCCGUCUUCGCCACUGAACAGGCUCCCCAAAAGAGGGCUGUCCCCGCCGUCAUUGCCGCCCCCGGUGAGUACAAUUCCCCAUCAAUGUUUUACCUGCCAUUUAAACCUAUGGAAAAGUAUCGAUAAACAGGGUAUUCGCAACGAACACCAUAAUAAUCGAUUCUUUACCAUAGCUUCAAAUGGGGGAAUAUCGAUAAUCGAUAAUUCACGUCUCGCCACUGAUUUACUUACGUAUUUAUGUGUGACCGUCUCUGAGAAAACGGACUUGAAACAAUGAAAACUUAAAACUAAAGUAACAAGGCUUAAAUUGAGGGUACCGGAGCGUGCAGGAGUAUUUAUAGAUGGAAGUUCACUGGUUACAAAACGUUAUUUUAAGCGGGCUACUUGAGGUCGCUUAUCUCCUAUGUGCCAAUCUCAAACUUGUCUGAUUUAAAUACCUUCAACUUUUUGUACUUAAUUGACAUAAAGUAUCGUAAACCGCCGGAAACAUUUAAAUAUACUAAAGAAAGAAUUUUCUGUCGUAAACUGGAUGUUCAAUAUUUCAAUUCAGGCUGGUAAAAUCACAUACUCCCCCCCCCCCCAAAAAAAAAAAGAAAGAAAAAAGAACCUUCCUUGCCUCAAAGAUUUCUCUUUUUGUAUGGUCAUCAAUCUUAUAUUUAUUUAUUAAUUUGCUUAUGGUAAUUUACAAUCCAUCUAAUUUUAAGCCUUUACGAAAUAUCAUCCCCCUUUCCCAUCACCCCACCCCAAUUACUGGAGACAAGAAAAUAUGCAAGGUUUAGCAUUAUCUCCCCAUUUGUUUUCUUUUUCAAUCAGAAAUCCUUGUAUGUACUGAAUUUUUGCGAUGAUCAAGGAAAAUAUCCUUUACACCUACCAUAGCACUGAAAAAUUGAAAGAACCUCUCUAGUGAUACUCAAUUGUGACAAAUUAUUUUUUCUUUCGACCUCUGAAAACAAUUUUCUAUCGACAGAUCUUUGAGAAAAGUUUUCUACUAAAAAUUAAGCAAAUUUUAAAGAAGUCCUUAAUUUCUCAAGGUAUCAUAGCAGUGGCAUGGCGUACUUUGCGAUGUGUUAAUAUUAAUCUUCCAUUCACACCUAUGGAAAAGGAUCAGUAACCAGGAUGUUUGCAACGAACACCAUUUAUGAUUUAUUGAUUCUUGACCAUGGGAUCCAAUGAGGAAAUAUGGAAAAUCGAUGAUUCCCGCCUCGCCACUGCUAGCAUAUUUUCUCCGAUUUCCAGACUAUUGAGAAUAGGAUCCAUUCACUUCGAAUACCCAGUGCAUAGUACAUUAUCAAAAAAAGUCUUGGUGCGAUUUGCUGAAUUGUAUGCACGCCUAGGCGCAGGAUCAUACGAUUAAAUAAACCUAAUCUUAAUUUUCAACUUAUUUUGUUACAGCUGCCUACCCAUACGCCGCCUACCCCUACGCCGCCGCCGCCUACCCCUACGCUGCUCCCGCCGUUGCCCCCGCCGUCGUCCCCGCCGCCUACCCAUACGCCGCCUACGGUGCCUACCCCUACGCCUACGGUGCCUACGAUGACGGCAGCUACUUCCCAGGCAAAUACGGACCCCUCUCCAAGUAAGCUGUGAUGUCAACAACAUCAGAGCCCCCCUCAAAUUCACUCCUCUUCACUUCUGAAAAUCCGAUUGAAAUUUGGUCUGAACCUCCAGUAAGAACAAUGCAUCUGCAAUAGUCACUUCCAUUUUGUUCAAUUUUCAAAAAUUAAAACUUUCCCUCCGGUAAUAUUACGUCUUGCUUAAUUCUCACCUUUUUACCCAAGAUAUUUUGAAAGUAUCGAGUACCAGUUUGAAGGUAUCACUAAUGAAAAAAUCCAAUUAAAUUUUUGAAGAAAUUGAGCCGUCGGGCAUACUGGUUCUUCAUACUUUUCUCACAAUGAAAUUUGUAUUGAAAAUCGACAAAUGAAGCCCAUCUUUUGCCUUAAUAUUCGAGUUUAAAGUUUAUGUGUUUCGGAGGCUUCCUGGUAACUUUUAACUCUGAACUAUUUCUCUCAAACGUCUCGUUAAAAUUUCAUGUGUGAUACCUUUCAAUAGAAAAUGUUCAUAAUAUGAGCUGAAUAAAAUAAAUCAAAGAAAUAUAAAUAAGAAAAUUCAGCGUAAACAAUUUUAUAAAAUGAUUGUUAAAGUUGUUAAAGAUAGUUUGUCUCGAGCGGAAACUGUCGUUUCCAAAAGAGCCUUAAAUUGACAGCUAUAAAAUAAAGCUAGUGCUAACUCAAAACUAGUAUAACUUCUCCGUUUUAAGACUUGGAUUUAUCUGAGUCAGAUAAAAAAAGGAGAAAAUCUGGAGAAGAUGAAGAAACAGUAAUGAAUUCAUUUUGUGCAUGCUUCUCCUAAUUUAAUUUUGCUAAUUUAAUUGAUCAUCUUAGGAUGAAUAAUAGUAAACAAUAAUUCUUCAAUCAAAUUCAUUUUCUUGACGUAACAUAAGAAAACAUAAAUCCUACGAUUCUUCAAAAAUUAAAGAUAUUUUUUGUGCACACGUUAUACCAAGAAAAUCUUG
rnacentral:lncRNA from 1 species